GGGGCUAUAGCUCAGCUGGGAGAGCGCCUGCUUUGCACGCAGGAUUUGCUCUUUAAAAAUCUGGAUCAA
rnacentral:tRNA from 1 species